UACGAGGGGGGCAAGUGUUGUUCGGAAUCACUGGGCGUAAAGGGAGCGUAGGCGGGCUCUUAAGUUGGAUGUUUAAAACCGGGGCCUAACCCCGGCGUGGCAUCCAAAACUGGGAGUCUUGAAUGGGACAGAGGCUAGUGGAAUUGGAGGUGUAGCGGUGGAAUGCGUAGAGAUCUCCAAGAACACCCGUUGCGAAGGCGGCUAGCUGGGUCCACAUUGACGCUGAGGCUCGAAAGCGUGGGGAGCAAACAGG
rnacentral:rRNA from 1 species